ensembl:lncRNA
CGGGACGCAUGGACCUGUACAGAAGGCGGGACGUCAGUCAGUGCGCAUGGCAAUGGCCUCUCGGGAUCAUUCCUCACGGCCUAAAUUAAACGUGUCCUCCAGUUGGAGGCCUGGCCGGGCUGUUGUCAUGGGAACGCUGGUUUUCUUAUGCGCGCGUUCAACACACCGAGGCGAGGAUUAAUCCGUCCGAAUAGAAACUUAAGUAAUGUAAACACGACGGUUUGACUGUUUAAACCAACCACGGUCUGAACCACGGUAUGAUGGUUUGAGGCAGAGUUUGAUCGUUAGAACCACAGUUUGGUGGCUUGAACCACGGUUUGAUGGUUGGAACCGAAUACGUCGACCACCCCGUCGUUCUCGAGGGCCGCUGAGACGAAGAUAGGUCACGACAGGGUCGUGAUGAGACGCAUGGCUGGCCGCCAUCGGCUCUCCAGAGGAAAGCGCCUGGGAAUAACCUGGACGACCCAAACAAAGAUGGAGAUGUUCCUCUUAUGGGGCCCAGUGGAUCUGAUGCCCUCCUGGGAGGUUCUCCGGCCCAGCAGUCCCCACAUCCUGGAGCCUGCAGGAAGAGAAGGAACCCCCCCCCGUUAGCAUCUGAAGAACGGAACGAGCUGCUGUCGACCUACGGGCUCUGAUCACCACUCCCACACCAGGCUGACCUUUGACCCGCACAGACCGCCUCCCAGCGCCAAGUGGACCCCGGCAGGGUUCGGAGCUAAUCGCUAAAGCGGAGUUGAACUGCUGACACCAGGGUUGCUUAAAUCAGCGCUGCGCCCAGCGGUGAGCCACCAGAGCUGCUGACAGGCUGACCAGCGCUGACAGCCCCCCGGACCCUGCAAUCAGAUACAUGGCUCUGGAAUGGCUAUUGAUUGAAGAGCUACGCACGCACGCACGCACGCACGCAUGCACACACACACACAGAUGCUAGGUGUUGACCUCGUGGGCAUGACUCUGGGUGUGUGUCUCCCGCUAGGAAGGGAUCUGAGGGUAGGAGAUGAUAAAGACUGUGGUGAUGAAGACUGUUGGUGAUGGAGACUUCGCUUUUCAUCCUGGAGUACCCACCUAUCACAGAAGAAUCUCUUGUGAGAAAACACACACACACACACAUCCCAACACAUACACCAACACAUACACCAACACAUCAUCACACACCAUCACACACACAGCAACACACCAUCACACACACGCAUACACACACACGCCAUCAUACAGACACACACAGAUACCAUUUGUGUUCCCGUUGCUUGAACAUGUUUUGCAAAACUUGGCACAUUGUGUUAAAACUCAACACACAAGCAAAUAAGACCCAAUACUGAGAAAUAUACCAUUCACAUCUAUGUCAAAUUUUAACUCUUUGUCAAAAUGUCACUGAUGAAAAAA